GUGUUACCAAUUAAACUACACAAACAUUACUAAAAGAGAUUUAUUAUCCUUGAAUGUUUUACUUUUUAACCCUUUAAAAUGAAGGAUUUACAAAUUUGUAUAAUAUUUCUCAAUUAAUAUAAAUGACAUUAUUAAUUUUUUAUUAUAAAUUACACAUUAUCUUUGAGAUUAAGGCAUUGAUUAAGGCGAUGAAGAUAUUUUUCAGUUUGUGAUAAAAAUGCUGAGAUGAUUGCCAAUGAAAUAUAAUGGAAAAUCAAAAUGACUAUGCAAAGCAUCUACUGCACGAUCAUAUGAAUAAACAGUAAACAGGUCUCGACACUUGUUAAAGAAAAUCGUUCGAAAAUUGAAUUCCGAAAAAUAAACAUGGAAGACAAAAAGGGUCUCGUUCUGUGAAACAAGCAAAGAUGAGUAGACUGCCUCUGUCUCUGUCUGGGACAUUCGUAAUAUUUACGGACGACAUCGCAGAUAUCUUCGAUAUGGAAGUGUUCAGACCUGUUUAUAGUUAGUAAGAUCGUUGUCUGGACUCCCAGAUCUGCCUUAUUCAUUGUUGUAUGAAAACAUUUUUCAAGAUGAAAUUACAGUAUUUCAAUGGUCACAUAUAACAGCGAAAAUAGAUAUUUAGAUAAUACCAUUUAAACAGACCACCCUGUAUUUACAGUUUUGUCAAAAUAAGCAACUACAUGAAAGUGUUAUUUGAACAAAAAAAUAUAGUAUUCAAUAAUUCUUUCAUUGUGUAUUUUUAAUAUUUUUAUAGUAGUUUUAAUGUACAAUUUCAUACUUCACAAUGAAAAUGUAAAUUUAUAAAUAUACGUUACAUAUAUUAAUCCCA